CCCUUAGAUGUUCUGGGCUGCACGCGUGUUACAAUCGGGAGUACAACAAGAUUGCAAAUCCUAGUGGAUGAGUGGUUCUUCGAAAUUUUCUGAAGACUGGGAUAGUUGAUUGAAAUUAUUCAACUCAAACGAGGAAUUCCUUGUAAUUGUAAUUCAUUAUAUUGUAAUGAAUACGUCCCUGCCCUUUGUACACACCGCCCGUCGCUCCUACCGAUUGAACGAUCCGGUGAAUUAUUUGGAGUAGUUCUGGAAGUUGCAGAACUUCCUAUGUCACGAAAUUUUGUAAACCUUAUCGUUUAGAGGAAGGAAAAGUCGUAACA
rnacentral:rRNA from 1 species